AUACGGAGGGUGCAAGCGUUAUUCGGAAUCAUUGGGCGUAAAGGGUGCGUAGGCGGUUUGAUAAGUCUGAUGUGAAAUCCUAUGGCUCAACCAUAGAACUGCAUUGGAAACUGUCAGACUAGAAUACUGAAGGGGCAGAUGGAAUUAGUGGUGUAGGGGUAAAAUCCGUAGAUAUCACUAGGAAUACCGAAAGCGAAAGCGAUCUGCUGGGAAGUUAUUGACGCUGAGGCACGAAAGCGUGGGGAGCAAACGGGAUUAGAAACCCUAGUAGUCC
rnacentral:rRNA from 1 species